rnacentral:tRNA from 1 species
GCCUGGGUGGCUCAGUCGGUUGAGCGUCUGACUUUGGCUCAGGUCAUGAUCUCACAGUUUGUGGGUUCAAGCCCCACGUCGGGCU